GAGUUUGAUCAUGGCUCAGGACAAACGCUGGCGGCGUGCCUAACACAUGCAAGUCGGACGAGGCGGCUCCUUCGGGAGCAGGCCGAGUGGCGGACGGGUGAGUAACACGUGGAUGACCUACCCUACCGGUGGGGGAUACCCUUCAGAAAUGAAGGCUAAGACCGCAUACGGUCCUUGAGGCGACUCGGGGAGGAAAAGUGCUUCGGCACUGCCGGAGGAGGGGUCCGCGGCCGAUUAGCUGGUUGGCGGGGUAAGAGCCCACCAAGGCGACGAUCGGUAGCUGGUCUGAGAGGAUGAUCAGCCACACUGGGAUUGAGAACGGCCCAGACUCCUACGGGGGGCAGCAGUGAGGGAUCUUCCGCAAUGGGCGCAAGCCUGACGGAGCAACGCCGCGUGGAGGAGGACGGCCUUCGGGUUGUAAACUCCUUUUCUGUGGGAGCAGGCCUGGGGGCAACUCCGGGGGAGAGUACCGCAGGAAGAAGCCUCGGCUAACUACGUGCCAGCAGCCGCGGUAAUACGUAGGAGGCGAGCGUUGUCCGGAGUUACUGGGCGUAAAGGGUGCGCAGGCGGCCGCGCGCGUGGAUGGUGAAAUCUCCUGGCUUACCUGGGAGGGGGCUGUCCAUACGGCGCGGCUUGAGGCUCGGAGGGGGGCGUGGAAUUCCGGGUGGAGCGGUGAAAUGCGUAGAGAUCCGGAGGAACACCGACGGCGUANGCAGCGCCCUGGACGAGACCUGACGCUCAGGCACGAAAGCUGGGGGAGCAAACAGGAUUAGAUACCCUGGUAGUCCAGCCGUAAACGAUGUCCACCAGGUGCCGGAGGUAUCGACCCCGCCGGUGCCGCAGCUCACGUGAUGAGUGGACCGCCUGGGGAGUACGGCCGCAAGGUUGAAACUCAAAGGAAUUGACGGGGGCCCGCACAAGCAGCGGAGCGUGUGGUUUAAUUCGAUGCAACGCGAAGAACCUUACCUGGGCUUGACAUGGCAGUGACCACCCCGUUAUGGGGGCUCUCUUCGGAGCACUGUCACAGGUGCUGCAUGGCUGUCGUCAGCUCGUGCCGUGAGGUGUUGGGUUAAGUCCCCUAACGAGCGCAACCCUCGGGGUCCGUUGCACUUUUCGGGCCCGACUGCCGCGCGCAACGCGGAGGAAGGUGGGGAUGACGUCAAGUCAGCACGGCCCUGACGUCCAGGGCGACACACACGCUACAAUGGCCAGGACAACCGGCCGCGACCCCGCGAGGGCAAGCCAAUCCGUAAACCUGGUCUCAGUUCGGAUUGCAGGCUGCAACCCGCCUGCAUGAAGCUGGAGUUGCUAGUAACCGCGGGUCAGCACACCGCGGUGAAUACGUUCCCGGGCCUUGUACACACCGCCCGUCACACCACGAAAGCCGGCGACACCUGAAGCCGUUGGGCCAACCAGGGUUCCCCUGGAGGCAGACGUCGAGGGUGGGGUCGGUGAUUGGGGUGAAGUCGUAACAAGGUAAC
rnacentral:rRNA from 1 species